AAUAACGGUACACACCAUAUGGA
rnacentral:siRNA from 1 species